UACGGAGGUUGCGAGCGUUACCCGGAUUUACUGGGUGUAAAGGGCGUGUAGGCGGUCUCUCAAGUCCGAUGCUAAAGACCGAAGCUCAACUUCGGGGGUGCGUUGGAUACUGUGAGGCUAGACGGUCGGAGAGGGUAGCGGAAUUUCCGGAGUAGCGGUGAAAUGCGCAGAUACCGGAAGGGACGCAAAUAGCGAAGGCAGCUACCUGGACGAUUUGUGACGCUGAGGCGCGAAAGCGUGGGGAGCAAACCGG
rnacentral:rRNA from 1 species